AUUUAUGUGGUUUAUUGUACUGGUUAAUAAAUUGUAAUUGAUUUGUAAAUUUAAGUUUCUAAUCAGUGAUCGCAACAGCCAAAUAUAAGACAAUAUGAAGUGUUAUUGAGUAGAUGAUUUAGAUUUUUGAUUUUUCUAAAUUUGUUGUGUUAUUAGUCCAAUGGUCUUGGAACCCUAACCUUUCAUUAAAGGAAGAUUUGCAAAACUACCAUUUUUUUACUACCCUUUUGCAACAAUACCCUUUUGUGUUGUCCAUUUUUAAAAAUACUCCUUCCCUUGAACAGAAUGACCAAAGUACCCUCAUUUAAUAGGAACAUGUAAUUGGAAACUGAAAUUUUUCUGCCAAACUUUUUUCCCGCCAAAAAAAAAUUUUCCGCAAAUUUUU
rnacentral:sRNA from 1 species